AUGGCGACCCUCCAAGCUCUGCGGGAGCUCUGCCUGGUGCUGAGGGAGUCCUCGCAAAAGGCCCCUAACCUGGUGAACCUCCCAUUCCUGCCCUGACCCUGCCAUGGGCACCUGGCUCCUCUGCUGGGUGACCCUCUGUCUCCUGGGGACGGGUGAUGCAGGUGAUAGCGUCUCCCAGUCCCCCAGGCACAAGGUCACAGAGAAGGGCCAGAAUGUAAGUCUCAGGUGUGAUCCAAUUUCUAGUCAUUCUGUGCUUUUCUGGUACCGACAGACCCUGGGGCAGGGCCCGGAGUUUUUGAUGUACUUCCAAGGCAAGGACGCCGUGGACACAUCAGGGAUGCCUAAAGAUCGGUUCGUUGUUAAGAGGCCACAGGGCUCGCACUCCACUCUAGAGAUCCAGCGUGCAGAGCAGAGGGACUCGGCCGUGUAUCUCUGUGCCAGCAGCUUAGCCACAGCAUGGCACUGUCACCUCCUUCCUGCUCAUAAACCCUGCUGUGCUCACCUCUCCUCCUAG